AACAGUUCAGAUUUGACCUUUGGGUCACAUGUUGAAAGGAGUGGCUUAGGGAAAUGAUGAGACCUAAUUAGUCAUCAAUCAUGUUAAUACAUCGCUAAUGCCUGUUGUUAUUUGCAAUCAGAUUUUUUUCCCCUGGAGAAAAAAAGGCAUUUAUUCAAUUAUUUAUCUAACACCUGCACAUGUACUAGACAGUGUUCUAGGUCUAAGUGAAUCAGGAGUAAAUAAGAUAAGAGCCCUACUCAGCUAGAGCUUAUGGUCUAGUGGGAGGUGACAGACAAUAAACAAGUGACCACAUGAGUUAAAUAAAAUUUGAAAAAAAAAAUAGAGGCAUUAGGUUAUUGCAUUGGGGGAUGGUAUGGACAACUUUGGAUACAAUGGUCAAGAGAUACUUCUCUGAAGAAACAACCCUGGGCUGAGACCUGACUGAGUUGAGACAUGUCUCAAGGAUAAACAUGUCAGAAAGCAGGAAAAACAGCCGAAGGGAGCUCACAGAGGGCCUCAUAGGAGUCUGCAUUUAAUCCAUAAUAUGAAGAAAAUCCAUUGGAGGAUUUCAAGCAAUAAUCAGACCUGAUUUGUGCAAUCAGAUUUUUGAUAAAGCAAAAAACCUAUUAUAUCUAAAAAAUGAAUGUCAAUUAGAAUUCUUGUUGCCAUUAAUUUCUUAUUCAUUUUUAAUUUUUGUUUAUAAGGUAUAUUUAUUUAGAGAAGACAAUAUCUUAUUAACUUUAUUAUAUAAUAAAAAUAAGAAAAAUUGUGGGACAACCAAA
rnacentral:lncRNA from 1 species